AGAAGGAAUGGAUGACCAUCAAUCAAGGUUGUUAUGGACCUGGAUGGACAUAGACUAGAUGAGUUCCAAAGAUGGAUCCUUCUGCAGGGACUACAAAGUAACAUUAAUACAAUUGCUCCAGGCAGCUCCUGCCAAUUGAUUAGAGUUUGUAGACAAGUUCAAACCUGUUUAUCAUCCUGGAAUUGCACUGAACUUAGAAAUGCCCAGAUGAUUGAUCAGAGUUUUAAUGCAAUAACAUCUGCUGAGCACCCCCUAUGGACCAGGAAUUGGGCUCAGUGUUAUACCUGCAUUUUCUCAUAAUUCUUACAGCAACCCUAUGAGCCACCAGAGAACCAAAGUUUAAAGUGUAAAAUCAGCUUUUCUCUAGACCAGUGAGGACCCCUCACCCCAACCACCCACAC